UAAGAACCAAUUCUUUGUCAACCAAAUAUGCAAUUUAGCCGAGUACAUCUGAAAGAAACUGAAAACUUGCCUAAAAACGGCGUCUUGUCCCUUUCCCUCUUAAAGGGCACCAAGCCAAGGAAUGCAGUAAGGUUCCACCACCGCAACGCUCCGCCACGGAAUAACAAUUGCAAAGCCACCACAAUGAUCAAACCCAAGACCUUCUUCUCUUCUUGUUCUUCUAAAAUCAAUCUCCACCCUUCAUUUCCUACUAAACGCAAUUCUUGGUUGGGCUGUUGCCGCGCCACCAGUCCACAGUUGGAGCCGCCUCCAAAGAAACAUCCACCUCCAUAUUCAGGUGUACGAGGAGAAAAAGCACUUUUCUCCAGAUUCCAACAUACCUUGCAGAUCUUCUUUGCAGUGCUAUUCUGGAUGUCUCUUUUCUUCUGGUCUUGCGCAUGGGAUUGGGAGAAUCAUGGCAGACCAAACCAGAGAUCGCAAUUUAGGAAAUAAAUCCAAAAGAAUAAUUGAUGAACGAAUAGGCAAUAUUCUGACAGAGGCAUGAAGCAUUCCCGGUUUUGAUAAUCUUUAUACAUUGUAUGAGGAAGUAUUAGCAUCAAAGAUGGCACAUGUUUGGAUCAGGUGAAAUGAUCUUGAUUCCAACCACAACGUGAUGGGGCCUCGUUUUCCGCUCUCUCUGAGCUGUGUGGUUGGUUAUUCGACGAUCAGAUGAGUAAACGAAAAGGGUCAGUUCCCUUUUUUCGGUGCAGGUCGUGUACUUUUACGUACUCUGGCAUUGCAUCCCUAGUUCUUGUGCAUUACUACGAAGUUUCCGUUCCAAUUGCCCCACCCUCAGCUCAAGAUGCAGAAAUUCCUUUAAGGAAAUACAGAACUCGAGUCUGGGUAAUUCUUAGAAGGUUUUGGACUUGGAGUUCAAAAUAAUUAUGAAUUAUUUAAAUAGUCGGGUCUUGAGAUCUCCUAAGAAUGAUUGGCUGUGAGUCUAGAUAGGCUGCUUGCUUGUCUUUGUCAACCUGCAAAAAUCUUGAUCAGUCUGCUAUGAUAUAUGCCUUGAGUUAGUUUAAUUCUCCACCAGAAAGAAGAAAGAAAUCCCAAUUGGUGGGAGCCCCAUAUCUCCAAAAUAUCUUUGGUUUUGUGGUUUUUGUUCUUCAUUUCAUUCCACAACUUGGACUCCUUAGGCUGCCCCACCCCCACUAGGAAUAUUAGACAAAAAAUGUGAGUUUUUCAUAAGUUAAGUCGUGAGAUCAGAUCGAUUUAAAUACAUAUCUGUUUCUAGUAAUAGACUGGUCUCUAGUGUAGAUUCAUAAUUUGAUUCCAAGAAGUAAUUUUGGUAAGUUAUGUGUUUUGACGGGCUACA